rnacentral:rRNA from 1 species
AUGGGAAACUUGUGGAGGCCGGGGCGGCCCUCCUCGUUCCCCCAGCCGCCUCUACGUCUGGGGGAUCUUCCUCUCCGCCUCGGCCGCAGCCGACGGCCCCUCCUCCCUCGGUGGCCGUGCCGGAGAUUCGGGGACACACCCGCUCCCGCACGGCGGCCCUUCGUGCACUUAGCGCUUCCUGUGUUCUGGGGUCAAGCAGCCCCCAAUGGCUCCUUAAUGCGGGCCCUCUUCUGGAACAUCCGCGGCUUCGGCCAUGAUGGCCGCCGCCGCCAGUUAGUGGAAUACAUGCGAGAUGAGCACAUCGACAUCGUGGCUGUGCAAGAGACCAUGCGUCACGAUUUUGCGCUCCCUGAGCUUGACCGGUUGAGCUCUCACCUCUUUGCGUGGCACUGGCUCCCUUCUAGUGGGAGCGCGGGCCACUCGGGUGGCAUCCUUUUAGGUGUGAAGGAUGCCACCUUUGAGGUGGGCAGC